GAUGAACGCUGGCGGCGUGCCUAAUACAUGCAAGUCGAGCGAACGGACGAGAAGCUUGCUUUUCUGAUGUUAGCGGCGGACAGGUGAGUAACACGUGGAUAACCUACCUAUAAGACUGGGAUAACUUCGGGAAACCGGAGCUAAUACCGGAUAAUAUUUUGAACCGCAUGGUUCAAAAGUGAAAGACGGUCUUGCUGUCACUUAUAGAUGGAUCCGCGCUGCAUUGGCUAGUUGGUAAGGUAACGGCUUACCAAGGCAACGAUGCAUAGCCGACCUGAGAGGGUGAUCGGCCACACUGGAACUGAGACACGGUCCAGACUCCUACGGGAGGCAGCAGUAGGGAAUCUUCCGCAAUGGGCGAAAGCCUGACGGAGCAACGCCGCGUGAGUGAUGAAGGUCUUCGGAUCGUAAAACUCUGUUAUUAGGGAAGAACAUAUGUGUAAGUAACUGUGCACAUCUUGACGGUACCUAAUCAGAAAGCCACGGCUAACUACGUG
rnacentral:rRNA from 1 species